rnacentral:lncRNA from 1 species
GAGCGUAGACGAUGAACAAGCAGUACGAAUCUGCCUUUAUGAGGGAUAGUAUCGUUCAACAGUUUUUCAUAUUCGAGACGCGGUAGUGUGGACGUGUUACGGAAUAGUUACAGAUUUGAACGUUACGAUUUUUGUCUUUAGCAAGUGUUUGAGCAAUUGGUAAGAAGUGCUAGCUAGAUGCUAGAUAAAAUAUAAAAUCUGGUUAUUCGAAAGUCGACUUGUAAAUUUUCUCCAAAAAGGAUUUAUUCAGGGAUGGGUCAUACGACAACCAGAUAGACUAUUCCACAUGUGGAAAAUUCUCCCCUGAUGUACUUCGUGAUACACAAGGAAGUUUAUUCCAGUGAUACAGUUCUUCAUAAAUUCUUUUCCAUGCUGUUACGGUAAGUUUUUUUCCCUACUUCU